CACCACUCAAGCUAUGCUUGGUAUUGGGCGUCGUCCUUAGUUGGGCGCGCCUUAAAGACCUCGGCGAGGCCACUCCGGCUUUAGGCGUAGUAGAAUUUAUUCGAACGUCUGUCAAAGGAGAGGAACUCCGCCGACUGAAACCUUUUAUUUUUCUA
rnacentral:misc_RNA from 1 species